rnacentral:rRNA from 1 species
ACUCCUACGGGAGGCAGCAGUGGGGAAUAUUGCACAAUGGGGGAAAGCCCAUCGAUGCAGCCAUGCCGCGUGUGUGAAGAAGGCCUUCGGGUUGUAAAGACACUUUCAGUGGGGAGGAAAGGUUGUUGGUUAAUACCUAACAGCUGUGACGUUACCCACAGAAGAAGCACCGGCUAACUCCGUGCCAGCAGCCGCGGUAAUACGGAGGGUGCAAGCGUUAAUCGGAAUUACUGGGCGUAAAGCGUGCGCAGGCGGUCUGUUAAGCGAGAUGUGAAAG